rnacentral:rRNA from 1 species
AUUGAACGCUGGCGGCAGGCCUAACACAUGCAAGUCGAGCGGAGCGGCGGACGGGUGAGUAAUGCCUAGGAAUCUGCCUGGUAGUGGGGGAUACCGUCCGGAAACGGGCGCUAAUACCGCAUACUAGCAGAUGAGCCUAGGGGGGAUGAGCUAGUUGGUGGGGUAAAGGCCUACCAAGGCGACGAUCCGUAACUGGCCUGAGAGGAUGAUCAGUCACACUGGAACUGAGACACGGCCCAGACUCCUACGGGAGGCAGCAGUGGGGAAUAUUGGGCAAUGGGCGAAAGCCUGAUCGAGCAAUGCCGCGUGAGUGAAGAAGGUCUUCGGAUUGUAAAACUCUGUAAGUUGGGAGGCGGUACCAACAGAAAAAGCACCGGCUAACUACGUGCCAGCAGCCGCGGUAAUUC